CGUAGGGUGCGAGCGUUGUCCGGAAUUACUGGGCGUAAAGAGCUCGUAGGCGGUUUGUUGCGUCGGCCGUGAAAACCUGCAGCUUAACUGUGGGCCUGCGGCCGAUACGGGCAGACUUGAGUUCGGUAGGGGAGACUGGAAUUCCUGGUGUAGCGGUGAAAUGCGCAGAUAUCAGGAGGAACACCGGUGGCGAAGGCGGGUCUCUGGGCCGAUACUGACGCUGAGGAGCGAAAGCGUGGGGAGCGAACAGG
rnacentral:rRNA from 1 species